AUUGAACGCUGGCGGCAGGCCUAACACAUGCAAGUCGAGCGAGUGGCGGACGGGUGAGUAAUGUAUGGGGAUCUGCCCGAUAGAGGGGGAUAACUACUGGAAACGGUGGCUAAUACCGCAUACUAUCGGAUGUACCCAUAUUGGAUUAGCUAGUUGGUGGGGUAAAGGCUCACCUAGGCGACGAUCUCUAGCUGGUCUGAGAGGCUGAUCAGCCACACUGGGACUGAGACACGGCCCAGACUCCUACGGGAGGCAGCAGUGGGGAAGAUUGCACAAUGGGCGCAAGCCUGAUGCAGCCAUGCCGCGUGUAUGAAGAAGGCCUUAGGGUUGUAAAGUACUUUCAGCGGGGAGGCGUUACCCGCAGAAGAAGCACCGGCUAACUCCGUGCCAGCAGCCGCGGUAAUUC
rnacentral:rRNA from 1 species